GGAGAGGUGUCCGAGUUGGCCGAAGGAGCUCGCCUGCUAAGCGAGUAACGGGGGUAGACCUCGUUCGAGAGUUCAAAUCUCUCCCUCUCCGCCA
rnacentral:tRNA from 1 species